CAGCUACACUCUGGGCCUUCAGCAGUGUCUUCACAGGAGUGCUGGCAUCCACCGUUUCCAUGGUUACAGAACUGAUGACAUCUGUGUGAUGUGAGAAAGCCACUGUCCUGCCGCGCCAGCUAUGUAAAAACCAUGUGUGCCCGUGAACGACAGCUGAGAACAUGCUAAAUCAAAACCAUCAGUCCCGUGGUACCAGGGGAAGGCAGAGAGGCAAAAAUGAGACAAGCCCUGGAGGGGCUCAGAGUUGGAGAGACAGACACAAACAUACAAUUCAACCUCGAGUGUCCUGCUCUAACUGUCCUGCUGAGGAACAGACGAAGAGGUGCUGGAGCCAGAUCCCAAAUGCGCUGUCUGUGGCCACCUGGGAAGGCCUCUGAGGCAGCACAGCAUG